UGGAUNUUAAGAAUUUCGGUAUGGAUGGGGAUGCGUUCCAUUAGUUAGUUGCGGGGUAACGGCCCACCAAGACAACGAUGGAUAGGGGUUCUGAGAGGAAGGUCCCCCACAUUGGAACUGAGACACGGUCCAAACUCCUACGGAAGGCAGCAG
rnacentral:rRNA from 1 species